GAUGUUAGCGGCGGACGGGUGAGUAACACGUGGGUAACCUGCCUGUAAGACUGGGAUAACUCCGGGAAACCGGGGCUAAUACCGGAUGCUUGUUUGAACCGCAUGGUUCAAAUAUAAAAGGUGGCUUCGGCUACCACUUACAGAUGGACCCGCGGCGCAUUAGCUAGUUGGUGAGGUAACGGCUCACCAAGGCAACGAUGCGUAGCCGACCUGAGAGGGUGAUCGGCCACACUGGGACUGAAACACGGCCCAGACUCCUACGGGAGGCAGCAGUAGGGAAUCUUCCGCAAUGGACGAAAGUCUGACGGAACAACGCCGCGUGAGUGAUGAAGGUUUUCGGAUCGUAAAGCUCUGUUGUUAGGGAAGAACAAGUACCGUUCGAAUAGGGCGGUACCUUGACGGUACCUAACCAGAAAGCCACGGCUAACUACGUGCCAGCAGCCGCGGUAAUACGUAGGUGGCAAGCGUUGUCCGGAAUUAUUGGGCGUAAAGGGCUCGCAGGCGGUUUCUUAAGUCUGAUGUGAAAGCCCCCGGCUCAACCGGGGAGGGUCAUUGGAAACUGGGGAACUUGAGUGCAGAAGAAGAGAGUGGAAUUCCACGUGUAGCGGUGAAAUGCGUAGAGAUGUGGAGGAACACCAGUGGCGAAGGCGACUCUCUGGUCUGUAACUGACGCUGAAGAGCGAAAGCGUGGGGAGCGAACAGGAUUAGAUACCCUGGUAGUCCACGCCGUAAACGAUGAAUGCUAAGUGUUAGGGGGUUUCCGCCCCUUAGUGCUGCAGCUAACGCAUUAAGCACUCCGCCUGGGGAGUACGGUCGCCAGACUGUAACUCUAAGGAAUUGA
rnacentral:rRNA from 1 species